rnacentral:rRNA from 1 species
CAAUAGCGUAUAUUAAUGUUGUUGCAGUUAAAAAGCUCGUAGUUGGAUUUCUGGUGGGUUUUGAUGAGCCGGCGCUUAGCGUGUGAGCUUAUUCGAAUCCCGCCAUCCUAGGGAAAAAUCUUGUUGGCAUUUAGUUGUCGACUUGCUGAUUCCCUUCGUUUACUGUGAAAAAUUAGAGUGUUCAAAGCAGGCUUAUGCCAUUGAAUAGUCCAGCAUGGAAUAAUAAGAUAGGACUAAUGUCUAUUUUGUUGGUUUGUUGAUGUUAGUAAUGAUUAAUAGGGACAGUUGGGGGUAUUCGUAUUCCACGGUCAGAGGUGAAAUUCUUAGAUUCAUGGAAGACGAACUACUGCGAAAGCAUUUACCAAGGAUGUUUUCAUUAAUCAAGAACGAAAGUUAGGGGAUCGAAGAUGAUCAGAUACCGU